UACGUAGGGGGCUAGCGUUGUCCGGAAUCAUUGGGCGUAAAGCGCGCGUAGGCGGCCAGAUAAGUCCGGUGUGAAAGUCACAGGCUCAACCUGUGAAUGCCGCUGGAAACUGUCUGGCUUGAGUCCGGGAAGGGGCGAGUGGAAUUCCUGGUGUAGCGGUGAAAUGCGCAGAUAUCAGGAGGAACACCAAUGGCGAAGGCAGCUCGCUGGAACGGUACUGACGCUGAGGCGCGAAAGCGUGGGGAGCGAACAGG
rnacentral:rRNA from 1 species